CUUGUGCAGUGGAGUAAAAAUAAGAUUGGACCUGCAUUUGAGUAGUUAACCUAUAUCAACAGUAAUGAUCAACUUGAAUAGAAUAAAUUUAUGUAUUUACCACAACAAAAACUAAGUGAAAGUGAUGGUAUUCGAAAUAUCGACCAAAAACUAAACAGACUGAAGGUGUUCGAUAAAGUGUUGACAGAGCAAUGGAAUACAUUUUCAAGCAAGCUCUGGUUCACAACAUGAGAUCAGUGUAUUUUCCAGCAAAUAAACUCGAUGUUUUUGUGUAAUCUGGUUAUAUCAAAAGCCCACGACACUUAGAAAGCAAAAUAAUACUGACGCGAAUAGUCGAUCUCCGCCGUCCUAGAGCAAGAGGACAAAUAUUUCAAAUAUUUUUUUAAACAGUCAAAUAAAAGGCAUUUUUGCGGUGUAUCACUGUUAUGUAUGGAUUUUCUAGAUUAUUUCAAGAUUGAAUUGCUGCUGGAUACUAGAGGUAAUUAUUCCAAAGUCAGUUUCUAAAUCGUUCGACUGAUCACAAUUACCAACAUCGAACAGACAAUUUUGCAUCAAGAUAAACCACAGAGAGUAUGAAAGGCAUUGAGAAUGAAUUCUUUAUAGUAAACUAAGCAAGAUUCGUUACGAUUCUCAAUCAUAAAUACCUCAUUGGAUGCAUUGCAAGGGAAUUCAAUAUCCCUAAUCGUCUUGAAUGGCGUUCAGAUAGAAGAUUUUCUUUUUGUUGCCAUUGGAAUCACUAUUAGGAUUGUUACAAAUGAGUUGAGAUGACGUGCAUACGUGCUAUACAAYGGGGUUUCCGGCGAAGAGCCAUCGAUGUAUACAAAAGUGCCUCAAGUACUGAAGAUUUGCUGGAUUUUGGAGUGAAAGGAUAGUUUGAAGAUAUCUUAAGAACAAUCACUGACCCAUAGAUAUCUUAAAAAUACAAGUACGGCAAACUGGGUCACACAUUCACGUAUUCAGCAUCAGUUAUAGUUGGGACCCUCUGUCUCGAUAGCCUUCCUCUGCAACCUCGAAGUAUGAUGCAGUUCUCGAGCAAAAGCUUGACUUUGAAUCAGCCCCAAAUACAGCAGUGUUAUAGAAAUUCAGCUAAUAAUCCUUAUUCCGUUCACGAUUGGUAGUUAAGGUAUUAAGUGAAUCAAGAAUGUCGUUAUUCUGUGAGUCACUUCUCGCUGCAAAUGUCAGUCAUAGAGAGAUGUCGAGAAGUAAAUCUAGGCAAACCGCAAUCUUACAUGACAUCCAAUGUAGAAUUUCCCUGCUGAUAGCUCUAAGAAAUCCUUGUAAUAUGUAACACAACACUAUGGUGUAGCUUUGUCUACUUGUGCAGGUUCAAUAGUAAACAGAUUCGAGGAAGAAUCGUGCAAAACUCAAAAUAUUUAUGACUGACUUGUGGUCUACUUGUACUCAAAGCGAGGCUUCAAUCGAUUACUAUUACAGUCUUUUUGUCAGAACCUGUACAAUUCCGCCGAUUACCAAAACCAAAAUAAACAGCACCAAAUAACGA